rnacentral:rRNA from 1 species
UAAUACGGAGGGUGCAAGCAUUAAUCGGAAUUACUGGGCGUAAAGCGCACGCAGGCGGUUUGUUAAGUCAGAUGUGAAAUCCCCGGGCUCAACCUGGGAACUGCAUUUGAAACUGGCAAGCUAGAGUCUCGUAGAGGGGGGUAGAAUUCCAGGUGUAGCGGUGAAAUGCGUAGAGAUCUGGAGGAAUACCGGUGGCGAAGGCGGCCCCCUGGACGAAGACUGACGCUCAGGUGCGAAAGCGUGGGGAGCAAACAGGAUUAGAUACCCUGGUAGUCCACGCUGUAAACGAUGUCGAUUUGGAGGUUGUGCCCUUGAGGCGUGGCUUCCGGAGCUAACGCGUUAAAUCGACCGCCUGGGGAGUACGGCCGCAAGGUUA